rnacentral:rRNA from 1 species
UUCCUACGGGAGGCAGCAGUGGGGAAUAUUGGACAAUGGGCGAAAGCCUGAUCCAGCAACGCCGCGUGAGGGAUGACGGCCUUCGGGUUGUAAACCUCUUUCAGUAGGGACGAAGCGCAAGUGACGGUACCUACAGAAGAAGCACCGGCCAACUACGUGCCAGCAGCCGCGGUAAUACGUAGGGUGCGAGCGUUGUCCGGAAUUAUUGGGCGUAAAGGGCUCGUAGGCGGUUUGUCACGUCGGGAGUGAAAACUCGGGGCUUAACUCCGAGCCUGCUUCCGAUACGGGCUGACUAGAGGUAUGCAGGGGAGAACGGAAUUCCUGGUGUAGCGGUGAAAUGCGCAGAUAUCAGGAGGAACACCGGUGGCGAAGGCGGUUCUCUGGGCAUUACCUGACGCUGAGGAGCGAAAGUGUGGGGAGCGAACAGGAUUAGAUACCCCAGUAGUCCA